UACGAAGGGUGCAAGCGUUACUCGGAAUUACUGGGCGUAAAGCGUGCGUAGGUGGUUUGUUAAGUCUGAUGUGAAAGCCCUGGGCUCAACCUGGGAACUGCAUUGGAAACUGGCAGGCUAGAGUACUAAAGAGGAUCGCGGAAUUCCCGGUGUAGAGGUGAAAUUCGUAGAUAUCGGGAGGAACACCGGUGGCGAAGGCGGCGAUCUGGGUAGAUACUGACGCUGAGGUGCGAAAGCGUGGGGAGCAAACAGG
rnacentral:rRNA from 1 species